rnacentral:rRNA from 1 species
CAGUAGCCACGGUAAUACAGAGGGUGCGAGCGUUAAUCGGAUUUACUGGGCGUAAAGCGUGCGUAGGCGGCUUCUUAAGUCGGAUGUGAAAUCCCUGAGCUUAACUUAGGAAUUGCAUUCGAUACUGGGAAGCUAGAGUAUGGGAGAGGAUGGUAGAAUUCCAGGUGUAGCGGUGAAAUGCGUAGAGAUCUGGAGGAAUACCGAUGGCGAAGGCAGCCAUCUGGCCUAAUACUGACGCUGAGGUACGAAAGCAUGGGGAGCAAACAGGAUUAGAUACCCCGGUAGUCCCUGUCUCUUAUAC